rnacentral:tRNA from 2 species
GCUGGUGUGGCGCAAUGGCAGCGCAACUGAUUUGUAAUCAGUCGGUUGCAGGUUCAACUCCUGUCACCAGCUCCA